CAUUCUCUCUUCAAACAGUUGAGUUUUUCCUCAUGAAAAUUUGAGGCGAUCUCGAGUUUGUCAACACUAACAUGGCAUUAGAGCCGAUGGUACCUGUAAUCGGCGAUUUGACGUAUUGUGAGACUGUGAAGCUUCAUCUAUGAAGGCAGAUCUGGAUUUCAGAUCAUUUUUCUGCCCUCAAAUCAUUUCCUUUACUUUCAAGACCUUUACUUCUUCAGGAUAAAGAAGAAGACUGGUAAUUUCGUUCCUAAUUCUCCUACAAAUCUCGAGCUGAGCUACGUCUGAUUUUCUCAUCAAUACGGACCCUUCACUGAAGAGGCCACUAAGAAUUGGUAAAGCUGCAAGCAGGAUCUACUUUAUCCAUCCAGAUGUUUCUAUUUUUUCUGCUGCUGCUGGCUCUCCCAUAAUCUCUGAUUCUUCUUUAUGUUCUUCUAAUGUUUCUCUUGUAUACACUUGUUCACUUUUCACUUGUAACACAACUGACGAUAUUAAUAAAAUGGGAUUGUUUUGACAUCAAAGAA